GUGAGCUGUGGGUCAGAAUGAAAGUUCUGCUCUCUUGGACACUCAGACCAAGAUCGCUUUUCCUUCCUUAUGAGAGAAAACCAAAAGAACCAGAAGAAAUGAAUGUCGAAGGCUUCUUCGGAUCGAUGAGGGGAAGCACCACUGAUGACUGCACCAGAGAUGAUUUAGCUUUAGACAGAUUUCUCAGGUAGCUCUCGUCUUAAAUUUGCAAAAAGCCACGAAACCUUUCAGAUCAGUAUUUUGUACUUAAUUACUUCAAAAGAUUUGUGAUUCCAGUGGUGUGAGGGUAUCCCCUUUACCAGUACAGAUGGCCACCCCUCCAAAAUCCUAGUAGUCUGGCUCCUGACUUGCUGUGGUUUUAAGAAGCAAGCCAAUCUCUUGAACCUCUGGAGCUGAGCCUUUCGGAGCUGAUCAGCUCUACCUCCAAGGAAGGCAGAUUGUUCCAGAGCCAAAUACUUUUACAACUUGAACCCUGGAAUAGAUAGAUGAGAGGUAUUCAACCAGAGGUGAUUUCUCCCUCACCUGAUUUGAAUAUUUUAAUUGUUUAGUGUUUACCUAAGUAUGUCUUAUAUGCACCUGUUGUUUCUAAGUGACUUGUGGACUGAUAUCUGUGCCUGUGUCUAAGGAGUGGGAACUUGCUAAAAGUUUGUGAAAUUGAGUGACAAUUAAUCUUGUUACCCCUUAUGAUUAACAUGUGAUUUAUGAAUUUAUGAUUAAGUAACACUUAACAGUAUGGAUCACCUCACUAUUGUCAUCAACACCUCCCAUUCCCCAACAGAAUCUUAGACUGACCUUCAGUGGAGUGGGCCUGGCAGCUCCUUGUCCUCCGGACUUCACCUGAACCCCUUCUCAGCUGCCACCUCAACCCUUCUUCCCUAGGAAGCCAGCUGGUCUGGGCCUCAGAAGGCACACGGGCCCUCUCCUAAUGCCCUGCUGAGGGCCGUUGUUGAGGAGAGAGCAGUGAUGUCUGGUGACCAAAGCUUCUCUGCCUCUCGUUGGGGCCCUCAGCAGAGGAGACCUCUUCCUUUUUAUAGGUGAAGAAUCGGAAGCUCAGGGGGUCCUAGAACCUUCCCUGAGAUCCCACAGGUUUAGUGGCAGAGCUGGGAUCCAUACUCUGGUCCUUUAACCUCAGACCCGGAGGAUCCCAGCUCAGGAGCUGGAAAGAACCUACAAGGCUAUUUAAUCCAACUC
rnacentral:lncRNA from 1 species